GAUGAACGCUGGCGGCGUGCCUAAUACAUGCAAGUCGAGCGAACAGACGAGGAGCUUGCUCCUCUGACGUUAGCGGCGGACGGGUGAGUAACACGUGGAUAACCUACCUAUAAGACUGGGAUAACUUCGGGAAACCGGAGCUAAUACCGGAUAAUAUAUUGAACCGCAUGGUUCAAUAGUGAAAGACGGUUUUGCUGUCACUUAUAGAUGGAUCCGCGCCGCAUUAGCUAGUUGGUAAGGUAACGGCUUACCAAGGCAACGAUGCGUAGCCGACCUGAGAGGGUGAUCGGCAACACUGGAACGGAGACACGGUCCAGACUCCUACGGGAGGAAGCAGUAGGGAAUCUUCCGCAAUGGGCGAAAGCCUGACGGAGCAACGCCGGGUGAGUGAUGAAGGUCUUCGGAUCGUAAAACUCUGUUAUUAGGGAAGAACAAAUGUGUAAGUAACUAUGCACGUCUUGACGGUACCUAAUCAGAAAGCCACGGCUAACUACGUG
rnacentral:rRNA from 1 species